AUGAUACUGCUCCAAUCCCCAUCCAGGUUCCUACUCCAGAUCCUGAAGGAUCGCGUCGUCAGCGGCGACAAGGGCGUGGACAUCGAUUGCCACACGGUGGAAUUCGACGAUAUGCGGUAUCAUAUCCAGUUUUCAAUGAGGAAUCCAAAGGUAAUGGUGCUAUCAGUGGCAUUGCCCCUCGCACCUCCUGAGGCUAUUCUGCACGACGGGCUUCCUCUUGGUGCCAUUGAUGCUAUAAAGGCGGCAUAUGGGGCAGUGGUUCAAAUUCUUGAUCCUCCAAAGGACUGCUUUGAUGUCACAAUGAAGAUAAACUUAACAAAGCUUCCGACAGAUGAAGAGCAGCGGAAUGUUGUCUUGACACGAAUUGCAUCUGUGAGAGAGGUUGUGCUGGGUGCACCGCUGAAGCUUCUGCUCAGGCAUCUAGCUUCAAAGACAGUGGCUCCUAACGUGGAUAAGCUGGUUGCCCUUGUUCACCGUCCUAAUGAAUCGUUCUUCCUUGCUCCCCAGGCAGACAAAGUUACGGUUGUAUACCCAAUGAGGUUCCAGGAUUCGAUUGAUAUUGUCUUGGCAACUUCGUUUCUGCAGGAAUUUGUAGAAGCAAGGCGGACUGCUGCACUUAACAAUGCCCCUUCCUGUAUGUGGUCUCCAGUACCACCUCUUGAGUUAAAAGGCGUGAAUGCUGAUGCACUUGAUGCAAAUGCUGGUUUUGUUACUUUUGUUGUUUUCCCUCGGCAUGUUGAGGGUAGAAAGCUAGACAAAACAGUUUGGAGUUUGUUAACCUUUCAUGCUUAUGUAAGCUACCAUGUAAAGUGUUCUGAAGGAUUCAUGCACACCAGGAUGAGGCGUAGAGUUGAGUCUCUGAUCCAGGCCUUGGACCGUGCUAAAUCCGAUGCAGAGAAGCUGAAGAAGUUGGUACAUGGCGGGUCUUUUAGGAGACUGAGCAUGAAGCACGAAGGCAACUCUAAUCACUGA
rnacentral:rRNA from 1 species